rnacentral:lncRNA from 1 species
UUGACAACACAAACAGGAGCGUUGCAGUUUUGGCCCACCCUACCUUCAGGCACCACUACCUACCUGUUCAAAGGCACCUACCACCAUACCCUGUUCAAAGGCACCUACUACCCUGUUCAAGGCACUACUACCAUACCCUGUUCAAAGGCACCUACUACCAACCCUGUUCAAGGUACCUCUACUACCCUGUUCAAAGGCACCUAUACCCUUUCAAAAGGCACCUACUACCAUACCUGUUCAAAAGGCACCUACUACCAACCUGUUAAGGCACUACACCUACCCUGUUCAAAGGCACCUACUACCCUGUUCAAAGGGCACCUACUACCCUGUUCAAAGGCACCUACUACCAUACCCUGUUGAACGGCCCUACUACCAUACCUGUUCAAAGGCCCCUACUACCAUUACCCUGUUCAAAGGUAUCAUCCGUCAGCACCACUACCAUAACCCUGUUCAAGGCAACUACUACCCUGUUCAAAGGCACUACUACCCUGUUCAAAGGCACCUACUACCAUACCCUGUUCAAAGGCACCUACUACCCAUACCUGUUCAAAGGCACUAUACCUACCUGUUCAAAGGCACCUACAUACCCUGUUCAAAGGCACCUACUACCUACCCUGUUCAAAGGCACUACUACCAUACCCUGUUCAAAGGCACCUCCUACUACCAUACCCUGUUCAAAGGCACCUACUACCAUACCCUGUUCAAAGACACCUACUACCAUACCCUGUUAACAGGCACCUACUACCAUACCCCAUUCAAGACACUACUACCAUACCCUGUUCAAAGGCACCUACUACCAUACCCAUUCAAAAGACACCUACUACCAUACCCCACCCUUUCUACCCCGUUCAAGGCACUCAAAAUUUGUCUUUCCCAUUCACCCUCUGAAUGGCACACAUACACAAUCCAUGUCUCAAUUG